rnacentral:rRNA from 1 species
UACGGAGGAUCCGAGCGUUAUCCGGAUUUAUUGGGUUUAAAGGGUGCGUAGGCGGUUUGAUAAGUUAGAGGUGAAAUGUCGGGGCUCAACCCCGAAACUGCCUCUAAUACUGUUCGGCUAGAGAGUAGUUGCGGUAGGCGGAAUGUACGGUGUAGCGGUGAAAUGCUUAGAGAUCAUACAGAACACCGAUUGCGAAGGCAGCUUACCAAGCUACUUCUGACGUUGAGGCACGAAAGCGUGGGUAUCGAACAGG